rnacentral:rRNA from 1 species
UAGGGAAUAUUGGACAAUGGGGGCAACCCUGAUCCAGCCAUGCCGCGUGAGUGAAGAAGGCCCUCGGGUUGUAAAGCUCUUUUGUCCGGAAAGAAAAGCUUCGGGUUAAUACCCCGGGGUUCUGACGGUACCGGAAGAAUAAGCACCGGCUAACUUCGUGCCAGCAGCCGCGGUAAUACGAAGGGUGCAAGCGUUACUCGGAAUUACUGGGCGUAAAGCGUGCGUAGGUGGUUGUUUAAGUCUGAUGUGAAAGCCCUGGGCUCAACCUGGGAAUGGCAUGGGAAACUGGGCAGCUAGAGUGCGGUAGAGGGUAGUGGAAUUCCCGGUGUAGCAGUGAAAUGCGUAGAGAUCGGGAGGAACAUCUGUGGCGAAGGCGACUGCCUGGACCAGCACUGACACUGAGGCACGAAAGCGUGGGGAGCAAACA